rnacentral:rRNA from 1 species
GACGAACGCUGGCGGCGUGCCUAAUACAUGCAAGUCGAACGCAGUGGGGACGGGUGAGUAACACGUGGGUAACCUCCCAUCAGAGGGGAUAACACUUGGAAACAGGUGCUAAACCGAUACUGAUGGAUGGACCCGCGGUGCAUUAGCUGGUUGGUUAGGUAACGGCUCACCACGGCCACGAGGCAUAGCCGACCGGAGAGGGGUGUCCCCCCCACUGGGACUGAGACACGGCCCAGACUCCUCCAAUACUACCCCAUAUCAAAUCUUCGGCAAUGCACGAAAGUCUGACCUAGCAACGCCGCGUGAGUGAAGAACCUUUUCGGAUCAUAAAACUCUGUUGUUAGAGAAGCGGUAUCUAACCAGAAAGCCACGGCUAACUACGUGCCAGCAGCCGCGGUAAUAC